GCAAGUGUGCAUUUAAGAGGGGGAUAUUUCUCUCGCGCGAGCGCGCACUGUGGCUGUCAAUUAUCUAACCCGGUUUGCCUUCUUUAAACAAUGCCUCUGGAAUGUGGUAUCACUGAAGACCAUCUGUGUCUCGGCUGCCUGCAACAACUGGACUGGACUGCGCACGUGCACACUGUGCCUGGAGUACCAUAACAAAAGGGAAAAAUGUCACUGACACAAAUAACCAAUCCUCUUUAGCUCUUUCUCCUCUUCAGCUCAUCACACUUUCUCAGUUUGCAGAUCUGGUGGCCAACCUUUCUGUUCAGGCAGUUGCUGCAGGCUCCAUCAGUUCCUGGUCCUCCAUUUGUGGCAAGGAGAAGAGGCCUGCUUGCUCAUGCUCAGACCUGAUGUAGUUUUCCACAGGGGACACCACCUUUGCAAUCCUGG